rnacentral:lncRNA from 1 species
AGUGCUGCUGGUUUGGUUCUCUAUCUCCUCGUCAGUGUUUCUCCAUCUUGUCCAGCGCUGCUGUGUUUAUUGCUUGCUAUUCAUCCUGCAAGUGUGGCCUAGAGGUCACCUCUCUCUUCUCUCUCUCUCUCCAGGUCGAGUCUCAUUCUUUACUUCAGGUUCUGAGAACCUGCACCGAGUGGAGAAAGUCCUCUGGGGCACCCGCUACGCCAUCACCAUCGCUUUCACCUGCAACCCCGACCACGGCAUCGAGGACCCAGUACUCACGUGACCAGCUAGGUCGUGUACUGAGUACCAUGUCUGGAAGCCUGUUCACGACACCCUAGUGUUGCGAUACAGCCCUGUCGGCGAAGGCACUCCUAGGCCGGGUUGAGUGUGUGCUCAUCUCUCCCAUUUCAGCCCAUUGCUGCUGCCCAAAGUGCCUUAUGAAUUGCCCUGAGUUUUAUUUGAUCUGCUGAUGUUUUAAUCUUUUCAUCUGUGAGUAAAUCAAGGAAGGAGCCUGUU